GAUCCUGGCUCAGGAUGAACGCUGGCGGCGUGCUUAACACAUGCAAGUCGAGCGAAGCGCUUUGGAAAGAUUCUUCGGACGAUUUCCUUUGUGACUGAGCGGCGGACGGGUGAGUAACGCGUGGGUAACCUGCCUCAUACAGGGGGAUAACAGUUAGAAAUGACUGCUAAUACCGCAUAAGACCACGGUACCGCAUGGUACAGUGGUAAAAACUCCGGUGGUAUGAGAUGGACCCGCGUCUGAUUAGG
rnacentral:rRNA from 1 species